UACGAAGGGGGCUAGCGUUGCUCGGAAUCACUGGGCGUAAAGGGCGCGUAGGCGGCCGAUUAAGUCGGGGGUGAAAGCCUGUGGCUCAACCACAGAAUUGCCUUCGAUACUGGUUGGCUUGAGACCGGAAGAGGACAGCGGAACUGCGAGUGUAGAGGUGAAAUUCGUAGAUAUUCGCAAGAACACCAGUGGCGAAGGCGGCUGGUCUGGUCCGGUUCUGACGCUGAGGCGCGAAAGCGUGGGGAGCAAACAGG
rnacentral:rRNA from 1 species